UGAAAGGACUCGUGCAGGGGAAAAUAUCGCAGUUGGUACAUCUUAGUGCAAUUCUUCAUCCUCUCCUGUUGCUCUGUGGUGAGAGUGGGCCUAAGGUACCAUUCUACACUAAGCCGGCUAAGGUUAUCCAGGCAGAUGGAUCUAUUGAUGCUGCCCGAGUGGAUGAAUUAUGUAGCAGCCUCAAUAGGUUAUGAAGCUAUCAUCUGGGAGCCCAGCGGCACUUUCCAUGGGAGCCCUUUCGCACACAUUAGCAGCUUUACAACUAGCACAUGACUCUAAGUGCUUGAAGAAUGUCUGGAGGUCCACCCCGUCCGUCAACAAGUGGACACACAACAAGUCUCCCCUUACUGGGGUUAAGACCAAGCAGCGUGCGUGGACGCGAGGAGUGACGUCAGCAGCCUACAUCAGCACCUUGGAUACGGGCUCACCAUUCAACAGAGGGAUCCUGCCCCGUUUUGGACC